GGAUAUUGUCAUAAGGCAAAAAUGAGGAUGAAGUAGGAGAAAGAAAUGGAAGAGAGACAUCAGUAUGAGACUAAAUCAUCUCCUUCAUUUCUACCAUAUUUCAUGCUGGUAUCCAGAACAUAAUGUUGAUUAGAAAAGGAAAUCAAAGACCUCUAAUGGCUCACUGAAAAAUUUUACUCAGCAAAAUCACUGGCCUUCUGCAUGAAAUCAAAGAGAUGUAAGCUAAUGUGUUAAAGUGUUAAAUCAGCGUAGCCAGUCUCUGUGGUCUGCUCAUCUGAGAAAGCAGAAAGCAAUGCUAACAAAGGUGGCUGCACUUCUCCUUCUCCAAUUCUGCAGUUUCUGUUAGUUAACCACGGCUAAAGGAGACCUCUGCUAUGAAGAAGUUUCAUAUUUCCAGAAGAUUGACCACUAAAUAAGAAGAGGAUAUGAAUUUUUCAGAUGGCUGCUAAAAGUCACCCUCCCUGCCUGCUGUCACACAUACCCACCAUGAUGAUGAUACAUUUUUAUCUGUCUGCCAUUUUAAGCCCAAAUAAAUCCUUCCUUCUCUAA